AGGAACCUGUCUUUGGGCGGGGGACAACAGUGGGAAACGACUGCUAAUACCGCAUGACACUGUAGUAUCGCAUGAUACAUAAGUCAAAGAUUUAUUGCUGAAAGAUGGCCUCGCGUCUGAUUAGCUAGUUGGUGGGGUAACGGCCCACCAAGGCGACGAUCAGUAGCCGGACUGAGAGGUUGACCGGCCGCAUUGGGACUGAGAUACGGCCCAGACUCCUACGGGAGGCAGCAGUGGGGAAUAUUGGGCAAUGGGCGAAAGCCUGACCCAGCAACGCCGCGUGAAGGAAGAAGGCCUUCGGGUUGUAAACUUCUUUUACCAGGGACGAACACAAUGACGGUACCUGGAGAAAAAGCAACGGCUAACUACGUGCCAGCAGCCGCGGUAAUACGUAGGUUGCAAGCGUUGUCCGGAAUUACUGGGUGUAAAGGGCGUGUAGGCGGAGAUGCAAGUCGGGAGUGAAAUCCAUGGGCUCAACCCAUGAACUGCUCUCGAAACUGUAUCCCUUGAGUAUCGGAGAGGCAAGCGGAAUUCCUAGUGUAGCGGUGAAAUGCGUAGAUAUUAGGAGGAACACCAGUGGCGAAGGCGGCUUGCUGGACGACAACUGACGCUGAGGCGCGAAAGCGUGGGGAGCAAACAGGAUUAGAUACCCUAGUAGUCCACGCUGUAAACGAUGAAUACUAGGUGUGGGAGGACUGACCCCUUCCGUGCCGCAGUUAACACAAUAAGUAUUCCACCUGGGGAGUACGACCGCAAGGUUGAAACUCAAAGGAAUUGACGGGGGCCCGCACAAGCAGUGGAUUAUGUGGUUUAAUUCGACGCAACGCGAAGAACCUUACCAGGAUUUGACAUCCAACUAACGAAGUAGAGAUACAUUAGGUGCCCUUCGGGGAAAGUUGAGACAGGUGGUGCAUGGUUGUCGUCAGCUCGUGUCGUGAGAUGUUGGGUUAAGUCCCGCAACGAGCGCAACCCCUAUUGUUAGUUGCUACGCGAGAGCACUCUAGCGAGACUGCCGUUGACAAAACGGAGGAAGGCGGGGACGACGUCAAAUCAUCAUGCCCCUUAUGUCCUGGGCUACACACGUAAUACAAUGGCCGUCAACAAAGGGAAGCGAUACCGUGAGGUGGAGCAAACCCCCAAAAACGGUCUCAGUUCGGAUUGCAGGCUGCAAU
rnacentral:rRNA from 1 species